rnacentral:rRNA from 1 species
GAUGAACGCUGGCGGCGUGCCUAAUACAUGCAAGUCGAGCGAACAGACGAGGAGCUUGCUCCUCUGACGUUAGUGGCGGACGGGUGAGUAACACGUGGCUAACCUACCUAUAAGACUGGGAUAACUUCGGGAACCCGGAGCUAAUACCGGAUAAUAUAUUGAACCGCAUGGUUCUAUAAUUAAAGACGGUUUUGCUGUCACUUAUAGAUGGAUCCGCGCCGCAUUAGCUAGUUUGUAAGGUAACGGCUUACCAAGGCGACGAUGCGUAGCCGACCUGAGAUGGUGAUCGGCCACACCGGAUCUGAGACACGUUCCAGACUCCUACGGGAGGCAGCAGUAGGGAAUCUUCUGCAAUGGUCGAAAGCCUGACCGAGCAACGCCGCGUGAGUGAUGAAGUUCUUCGGAUCGUAAAACUCUGUUAUUAGGGAAGAACAAAUGUGUAAGUAACUAUGCACGUCUUGACGGUACCUAAUCAGAAAGCCACGGCUAACUACGUG